UGACCUCGGAUCAGGCAGGGAUACCCGCUGAACUUAAGCAUAUCAUAAAGCGGGAGGAAAGAAUUUGUGACAA
rnacentral:rRNA from 1 species